GAUGAAGAACGUAGUGAAAUGCGAUACUUGGUGUGAAUUGCAGAAUCCCGUGAACCAUCGAGUCUUUGAACGCAAGUUGCGCCCGAAGCCAUUAGGCCGAGGGCACGCCUGCCUGGGCGUCACACGUCGUUGCCCCCCCAUCUACUCCUUCGGGAGUGCGGGGGGCGGAUGAUGGCCUCUCGUGCGCCUCGUCGCGCGGUUGGCCUAAAUGCCAAGUCCUCGGCGACGCACGCCACGACAAUCGGUGGUUGCGAAACCUCGGUUGCCUGUCGUGUGCGGUCGUCGCGCAUCGAGGGCUCGAAAAAAUUGCCGGGCUUCGGCUCGACUUUCAACGCGACCCCAGGUCAGGCGGGGUUACCCGCUGAAUUUAAGCAUAUCAAUAAGCGGAGGA
rnacentral:misc_RNA from 1 species